AAUCUGAGCCGCAUCUGCCACCUACACCACAGCUGAGGCAACGUCAGAUACGUAACAUACUUCAUGGGGCCAGAGAUCAAACUGGCAUCGUUGCAGAGACAGACGGGAUCAUUAACCCACUGCACCACGAGAAGAAGCAACACGCAGCCUCUCAGACCAGCCUCAGAUCUCAGAGAAGUCUGGAUGCAGCUCCGCUGAGAAUGGGGAGAAUUCACCUGUCUCGGGUGUGCCAAGGCUGCCUCGUCUUGCUUCUCAUCUUUUUCAGGAUAAGAGGAUCUUCUGGAGCAGGGCGCCUUCUGGACAUGCUACCCCCUCUCUCUGGACUCUUUCCCAGUUUAGUGGAUUGCCCCUUUCUUCUAGGAAGCCUUCCCGGAUUACCCCACCUGCAUCAUUUGCCUCUACUCUGCAGCCCCUCAUCAGGCACAGGUUCAGGUUGUCCUUGGAUAUGGCUCCGGCAUGUGGGUUCUAGGGCCCCCCGGCCAUGAUCCCUCUCAAGGACAGUCUCUUAGGAAUGUCCCCCAGCUCUCCCAGCUCAUCUGUACCAGCUCAGCCAAGGUCUCUGGGAAACUUGCUCUGCUCAGAAUCAUCUGCCCAGACCCCAGGGAAACAUUACUGAGAAGUAAAAUGUAAUAUAUUC